rnacentral:rRNA from 1 species
UACGUAGGGGGCAAGCGUUAUCCGGAUUUACUGGGUGUAAAGGGAGCGUAGACGGUUAUGCAAGUCAGAAGUGAAAGCCCAAAGCUCAACUUCGGGACUGCUUUUGAAACUGUGUAACUAGAGUGCAGGAGGGGUAAGCGGAAUUCCAUGUGUAGCGGUGAAAUGCGUAGAUAUAUGGAGGAACACCGGUGGCGAAAGCGGCUCUCUGGCCUGUAACUGACACUGAGGCUCGAAAGCGUGGGGAGCAAACAGG